GGAUGAUCCAUGUUGAGAUCUCGGGGCCCAUCCAGACAGUACCUUUAUCCCAGGAGCUUCUGCAGCAAACAGGAGAGUGGCCAGACAUGGUUCCCUGUAAACACGAAAGCAAUUGCUACGAAAGGCAAAAAACCUGAUGUUUCUGGCGGACAUCCUGCGAUGGCCAUCUUGGAGGCCUCUAAAUCUUGCAACAAAGCAGCAAAUGUGGAUGACAGAGGCAGAAAUCCCAGGACCAACAAGUCUGAGUCUUAAACCAACGGAAGAAGUUAUAAAAAUGACUGACACAAACACUCUUCUGAAAAAAAAAUAACUGCCUACUCACUUUGCAAAAGAAAUGAAAAUGGCUGAGACUGGGAAUGGUGCCAUACCUGCAAAGUGCCUCUGUUUGCUUGGGGUGCAUAACAUUUCUUGUGUGAACUUAUGUGAUGCUUCUUAUGUGA
rnacentral:lncRNA from 11 species